rnacentral:rRNA from 1 species
CCUACGGGCGGCAGCAGUGGGGAAUAUUGGACAAUGGGGGGAACCCUGAUCCAGCCAUGCCGCGUGUGUGAAGAAGGCCCUCGGGUUGUAAAGCACUUUCAGUGAGGAAGAACGCCUGGUGGUUAAUACCCAUCAGGAAAGACAUCACUCACAGAAGAAGCACCGGCUAACUCCGUGCCAGCAGCCGCGGUAAUACGGAGGGUGCGAGCGUUAAUCGGAAUUACUGGGCGUAAAGCGCGCGUAGGUGGCUUGAUAAGCCGGUUGUGAAAGCCCCGGGCUCAACCUGGGAACGGCAUCCGGAACUGUCAAGCUAGAGUGCAGGAGAGGAAGGUAGAAUUCCCGGUGUAGCGGUGAAAUGCGUAGAGAUCGGGAGGAAUACCAGUGGCGAAGGCGGCCUUCUGGACUGACACUGACACUGAGGUGCGAAAGCGUGGGUAGCAAACAGGAUUAGAUACCCUUUUAGUC